AGAAUAAUGAUAAGCCAAAAAAGAUGGUUUAUAUAUAUACUUUUAAAGGUGACAAAUUGGAAAUUACUUCCGGCAACCUGAUGACAUCUUGCAAGUCUUUUGUUUCCUUUUCUAAAGUGCAUUCUGUAUGCUUAAAAGUUUUGAUUCUUCUAAUUCCUGCACUUUCUUAUGCCCGAGUUCUUUUGUACUUUUUUUUUUUGUUUUCUGAAGAAACCGUGUUGUGGGUUUUUCUGUUUUUUCCCAAUAGAGCAAGGGAUCAAUGAUAAAGGAGGCAUCUUUUUCAGGUUUGAGGUUAUGUUUAAUAGUUUUUAUCAAUGAUUUUUUAAAUCAAUAGCCUAUUGUUGUUUUUUUGCUUGAACUAUUUUUAUUUAUCGGUAGCCUUCUUGAUUUUCAAGUUUAGAAGAGAUUUUUGCAGUUUUUUGGGACAAAAACAGCUUGGAUGAGUUUUUAGGAAAAUUGCCUUGGUGAGUUUCUUGCUACGGAUUUAUGUGUUUUGGACUAUUGUUAUCUAAGCGCUUUUGUAACGUUGUCUUUUUUAUGAACUGACUUCAAGUUUUUUCCUCCUUUUUUUAUAACUGCUGUUGGUAUAUGCUUUUGCCGUUGUGGCGAGUUCAUUUUAAACUUCCUGCCUUUUUCUUUCUGUUUUCAGUUUUUCUUUCUAUUCUUGUGAUUGCCUGUUUUACAUCCGUAUGGUAUGCCUUUCUUUGUAGAAUUCGCUGGCCUUUUGAUUCUUGCAAGGGGCCUUCUUUGAAGCUAAUCCUUUGUCAUUUGUUGGGACAGGAAUUCUGUUGCAGUCAUUUAAGUCAGGUGGAUAGAAAUACUAUUCGUCAAAAAUGGUAUGUUGAAAUGUCACAGAGUGAGAAGGCUGCACUUUCAUGUCGGAGGCAUGAAGCCAGGCUUUUGGAAAAAAAGGGAGAAAUCCUCACGCUCUUAUGUUCAUAGGGUACUGUUUGGUUGCAUAGAAGCCGGUGUUUGUUUUCCUGGUUCUACUCUUGAGGGCGAUAGCAAGCUACUCUUGAAGGCUGUGGUUUUACUCCUCGAGGUAUAUGUGCCGUUGUAGUAUUUUACUCGUCUAUUCUGUAUCUGUUAGUUUAUUUAGCCUUGUGUCAGAUCAUUAUCUUUGAAUGGCUUCACGUUUCUGUGCCAUUUACGAUUGAAGCCAUCUAUUUUUGCACAUUACAGCAGCUCCAUUGAAUGACAUAGUUCAGGUUACAAAAGGUCAACCAGAAUCUAGUGCUGGAAAAAAAACUGUGUCUUCUCAUCUUUGGCCGAACGUUUGGCCUUCUAUUAAAGAUCAGCCUUCUUAGCACAGUCAUAAAGAAGUCUUACCUAAAGGAUUGCCUGACCUCUUAGAUAACAUUACAGUCUUCAAUGAGAACGAACAAACUUGUGAUUCUCAAAAUGUCAACCAAAUAACAUACUUCAAUCUUUAAAGGACUCAAACUCUGGAAUCCUUAACUCUUUGAACACUCCGUCUUUAAAUCGUUUGUCCAGAGACUGUGUUUCCUCUUCUAUUGCAUUGAAUCCCUGAUCUUUCAGCAUUCCGCGAGGUAGAGAUAUUACUGCAUCCAACAAAUCAUUCUUCUUGCUUUUCUUAUUCAGCCUUUAGUAUCGUUGUCUUUCAUAAACUAUUCUUAAUAAAAUAAGGCCGUCUAUUUAUGCACGUUGCAGCAACUCCAUUCAAUGACAGAGCUCAGCGUUAGAAAUGUCAGAUAGAAACUAAUGCUGGAAAAAGGAAGAAAAAGGAAAAAAAAAAGGACAUCUAUCUUUUGAUUCCUUACCUAAUGACCAGCCUUGUAAGGGGAGGCAUGGAAAUGCAUUGUCUAAGGCAUGGUCUCCUAUUUCAGAAGUUAACAUUGCGAUCUCUUAAGACAAUGAACAAACCUGUGGUGCUUGAUGUUAAAAUACAGCUAACAUCUUUGAACCUACGCGGAACUUGAAUUCUAAAAUUCUUGGUUCUUUGCACAGUCCAUUUUUGAAUUGCUCGUUAAAUGACUGUAUUUAUUCUUCUACUACAUUGAAUCUCCAGUCUUCUAGUACUUCUCAAGAUACAAAUAUUAUUAUGUGUACCAAUUAUUUUGCUUGCUUUUCUUGUUCAAUCUCCGGUACUUAAAAAAAAUUCUUCUCCACUUCUAAGAUAAUGUUGUGUCUUUUGGGCACCUUAUUAGGAUUUGCCAUUGCAGAUAUCCCAUCGAUUCAGAAAAAUAUGGUGGUUCAUUCUCAAAUAAUAAAUGAUGUGUCGACUAACAAAGAUGGGACCAGCAAAUCAUCUGAUAUUCCUGUUGGUUUUGCAACUCGAACGAAGGAUCAUACAAAUGCUAUGCCGACAAGAACGACGCAGUCAGGAGGGCUCCCACAAUAUAUGUUAACAUUUUCUCUUGGGAAGCUGCAACACAAUUUCCAAUAGCAACACAGACAGCAAGAGGAGGGGCAA